UACGUAGGGUGCAAGCGUUGUCCGGAAUUAUUGGGCGUAAAGAGCUCGUAGGCGGUUCAGUAAGUCGGGUGUGAAAACUUUGGGCUUAACCCAAAGCGUGCAUCCGAUACUGCUGUGACUUGAGUUCGGUAGGGGAGUGGGGAAUUCCUAGUGUAGCGGUGAAAUGCGCAGAUAUUAGGAGGAACACCGGUGGCGAAGGCGACACUCUGGGCCGAAACUGACGCUGAGGAGCGAAAGCAUGGGUAGCAAACAGG
rnacentral:rRNA from 1 species